GUUUAAAUCGCGCUUACAUCAUAGAAUCAUAAUUUGCUCUUGCUGCUGCCUUUAAUCAAGGGGUUCUGAGCCAUUAGAUUUCAAUCAAGCCUUUGAGCUCAGAUAGUUCUUUCUUUCACGAUCCUUUCGUAGUUGUGCCAGCUUUGAAUAAUUUGAUCGGCGAGACAAAACAUUUCCAGCUCUCUUUUGGAAAUCAAAACACUGACUUU